rnacentral:rRNA from 1 species
GAUGAACGCUGGCGGCGUGCCUAAUACAUGCAAGUCGAGCGAACGGACGAGAAGCUUGCUUUUCUGAUGUUAGCGGCGGACGGGUGAGUAACACGUGGAUAACCUACCUAUAAGACUGGGAUAACUUCGGGAAACCGGAGCUAAUACCGGAUAAUAUUUUGAACCGCAUGGUUCAAAAGUGAAAGACGGUCUUGCUGUCACUUAUAGAUGGAUCCGGGCUGCAUUAGCUAGUUGGUAAGGUAACGGCUCACCAAGGCAACGAUGCAUAGCCGACCUGAGAGGGUGAUCGGCCACACUGGAACUGAGACACGGUCCAGACUCCUACGGGAGGCAGCAGUAGGGAAUCUUCCGCAAUGGGCGAAAGCCUGACGGAGCAACGCCGCGUGAGUGAUGAAGGUCUUCGGAUCGUAAAACUCUGUUAUUAGGGAAGAACAUAUGUGUAAGUAAAUGUGCACAUCUUGACGGUACCUAAUCAGAAAGCCACGGCUAACUACGUG